AGUAUCAACGCUUUCUUCGACAAGUACUUGCACAAGAAGACCAGCGUACAGGAGUUUGUGAAACUCUACGAUACAAUUCUGCAAGAUAGAUUUGAAGAAGAAGCCAAGGCUGAUUCCGAAACGUUGAACAAGCAGCCGACAAUGAAGUCUCCGUCGCCGUUUGAGAAGAGCGCCUCCGAACAAUGAAGUCUCCGUCGCCGUUUGAGUAGAGCGUCUCCGAAGUCUACACUCCCGCCGUGUUCAAGAAGUUCCAGGUAGAAGUUUUGGGAGCGAUUGCGUGUUCUCCAAGGGAGGAGAACAGAGAUGGAACAUGCUCUACUUUUAGAGUUCAGGAUUUCGAAACCAGCCAGGAGUUUGUGGUGACGUGGAACCAAGCGAAGGCGGAAACCUCUUGCAUCUGUAGGUUGUUUGAGUAUAAAGGCUACCUCUGCAGACACACGCUGAACGUUCUUCAGUGCUGUCAUCUCUCUUCCGUCCCCUCGCAGUACAUACUGAAACGGUGGACUAAAGACGCGAGAAGCCGGCAGUUUUCAGGAGAGCCACCUCAGCAGUUGCAGACGAGGCUGCAGCGGUACAACGAGUUAUGCCAGAGGGCGUUGAAGCUGAGUGAAGAGGCGUCCUGCUCUCAAGAGAGUUACAACGUUGCGUUCCUCGCCAUUGAAGAAACUUUGAGAAACUGUGCCGGUAUUAAUAGAAGUCUUCCGGAUGCGGCCAGCUCACCAACUCAAGGUCUGGUUUCUGUGGAGGAGGAUAACCAACAGAGCAGAAAUGGAUGCAAGACAAGCAAGAAGAAGAAUCCAACAAAGAAAAGAAAAGUAACUUCCUUGUUUUAAAAUCUCUGCUUGCAUACAACUUUGAGUUUUAUAAUACUGACCACAAAUUGCAGGUGAGCUCAGAGCAGGAGGGGGUUAUGCCGCAAGUCACAGCGCCGGAAAGCUUGCAACAGAUGGUAUGUCCUUUUGUUGAUAUGUCGUAUCAAUCAUCUGUUAAACCAGAGUCCUAUUCCCCUAAGUAUAUGAUAAUUUGUAUUUGCAGGAUAAGUUGAGCCCAAGGACAGUUGGCAUAGAAAGUUAUUAUGGAACACAGCAGAGCGUGCAAACUAUGGUAAACUAUGCACACAAAACACAUGUUAUUGUUCUCUUAUAAAUUAUGCAGUGUGGUCUGAUUAUGUGUGUGUUUUGCAGGUUCAGCUGGACUUAAUGGGUGGGCCAAAUCGCGAUAACUUCUAUGGGAAUCAACAAACUAUUCAAGGAUUGGUAUGAAUAAUCGACCAUCAACACCUAUCUGCAACUAGUUUCUGCUGUUUUUUUUGUUUGUGUAUUUUAACUUUGGAUUACAAAAAAAAAUCCCAACUGGUUUUCUGUAGCGGCAGUUGAACUCAAUAGCACCAAGCUACGACAGUUACUACACUGCUCAGCAAGGCAUCCAUGGACAGGUACCUUGCUUAUUCUCGCCUCUUUCAAGAGCAUUGUUCUAUUCGUUUACCAAUUUAAAUUUGAUCAUUCUCUACUUUGUUCUUUCUAGGGAGUAGAUUUCUUCCGUCCUCCAAACUUUUCUUACGAUAUCCGGGUAAAUUUUCAUUUCUAAUAACAGAUUUAUCUCUCCUUUUUUCAUGUUUGAAUCUACUGCUCAAUCUUUGUUCAUGGAAACACAUUUUCAUUACUGUAACAGGAUGAUCCUAAUGUGAGGACUACCCAGUUGCAUGAGGACGCGCCUAGACACUCGUAAACCAAACUGUAGCCUAAGGGCGAUCAAAUCUGAAAGAGUUUAAAAAUCUCUGCAGAACAGGAGCCAACAUGUACUAGAAGAAGCUCAUUUGGCAAUCAGAUUUUUGGAACAGAACAGAGAGCAUGCUCUGUUUUAUCAGCCCAAGUGUUAAAUAUCGGAUGUUGUAUUGUUAAUAUUGUCUGUGUUUGUAUUUGAUAUGAUCCCCAGGCUUGAUCAUUGACUUUUCAUAUUCAGAGAGACAAAGCAGGUCUUUAGAGGAUAUUUCUGUCUAUAUAACCCUUGUUAAUUCUUUCGAUCAAGUUUCUUAAAUUUGUAGUAUCAUGUUAGUUCUGAAUUUGAAUCACAUACAAAAUGGUGCUGUGAUUCGCUAUUUGAUCCCAAUUAGGCAUGGUAUAUUGACCGAGAAUCAAAAACUGAACUUGAAUCAAACCGAAAGCAAAAUUGAACUAAUGCUCACAAAUAUAACCGAACCUGAAAUCGAAAGUGGAACUGAACUAAUGCUCACAAAUAUCCGCAAAGUUCUUAUAUCUUUAGAACUAGAAAAGCCGAAACCAAAUUGGAACAAAACCCAAAUAAGUAUCCAUAUAUCUAAAAUACAUUUUAUAUACUUUUAUAUAUAAAAUAUAUUAAUUAUAUUUAGUUUUAAAAAUAUUCAGUAUUUUAAAAAUAUUAUUUUUAAAUUGAAAUAUCCAAAAGUACUAAAUUACAUUAAAUUUUCUAUUCGAAAUAUUCAAAAUUAUCAGAACUAUUAGAAAGAACUGUAUUAACUGAAUAUUGUAUCUGAAAUAUUUAAAUUUAUUUGAAUUACACAAUAUUUAUUCGAAAAUCUAAAAUGUGUUUGAAGUAUUUGAAUAUAAAAAACAGAAUCGAAUUGGAUUCAAAACUUUAUAAUAUAUUAUUGGUUCCUAAUAAUGUUAUCCGAGCCGAAAAAUCGAAAUAACCAGACCAGACUGAGUUUUAUAAAUAACUGAAUGAUUCUUGUAUAUCUAAAAGCGAAAGUUCGAAAACCAAAAAAAUUAAGUGAACCGAACCGAAAACAUAAUCCACGGGCCUAAUCCCAACCAAUGCAAAGACACAUUACUUUCCACGUGCUAUUAUGGGCCAUGCGAACGGCUUUUAUAAGCUGACAUAUGCGAAAUUGUUUUUGGAAGUGGUUUGAUCAAAGUCGGUUUGAGUUCAGUUCAGUAGAUAAAGUUAUUCUCGUUUGGCAAAAUCUUUUAGUAACGUCCCGACCAAGCCACAGCUAAUGAGCCACAUAUGUCCACUCACUCAGCAUCUACCCAUGUCCAUUCACUCAGCAUGUGGGUUCCAUCCCGUCUCACAAGUGAGCAUUAAUUUUCUGAAGGUUCGAAAUUAUUGUUUACUGACUCUGCAACCAUAUGACAUUUUUCCGUGCUUUGGUCUCACUUGUACGCUAUCGCAAAUCACUUUUCGAUAGGUUAUCCAUCAUCUUUAACAAAAAGAUAGGUCAUCCAUCAUUCCACUACUCUAGCUCAAACACGUUUAAUUCUAGAGUACUAAAUAAAUGUGUGCCGAAAAAGAUAAACGCACUUUGGUGACAUAGACAAGCCAAAUCAAUGAUCUUAAUCCCUUCCAUAUAUCACAAUUCAGGAUAUUAUAGUUUCAUCCUGAAUCUUUUCACAUCUCAUGAGUUUAAUCGAGUGAUAGGUGUGGACUUGCAUGGAUGUUCAUCGGCACAAAGUGGUGGGAGAAGAAGCCUUCACUCAUGCAUGCAUCAAUGAUCGACCUAUAUUAAAUCAAAGCUUAACUGUGUUUGGCGACUCCGAAUGCGGUGGAGGAUCUUCGUUCGAAGUUAGUGGCAGUUGAUGUGGCUUCUUCCCUAACCUAAAGCACUCACGUGUGGUGUCACGUGAUAUCUCUCGAUUUUGAUGAGUUUUAGAUCCAUAUUUUAGCUUAUUAUGUUCAUUCUAGGUUGCAUUUAGGUCUCUAUUUUGCGUUUGCAUCAAUAUUUUCAGGGGUUGGAAUGCACAUUUGGAAGUUUGGGGCGAGAUUCAAGGGUUAAAUUGCACAUUUUGGAAGUUUUGGGUCCACUGUGAUGUUAGCAAGAGGCCAAGGGACCAUUUGUACAAAAUCGGAAUAUUUGUUUGGGUUAAAUUUCACAUUCAAAAGUGCAGAGGUCAAUUUGAGAGGAUCUAUCUGACUAUUCAAGAGUUUUGGGGUCAUUUCGUGAAAGCCUAAAAGACGAAGGACCAGAUGCGCAAAUAGGAGAAAAUCCACCAUUGUGGAACUCCCGAGCUUUUCAAUCUGAAGAUGGCCGCGACGGUGAGAGGCAACGACACGACGACGGAGCUGACCACGAGCUGAGAGCACGACCCGGAUACAUGGAGAAGCCGAGAGGCGAUGAUCACCGGUGGACUGAAACCUAACGUCGACUGAGGCCGGGCUUGAGGAGUCACGGUUCACAUCGAAGAAACCACCAUUGGAGAGGAUCAAGAGCUUUCUCUUCGCCGGACCUGCGAGAGACGCGACGGCGGCGAUUGGCUGAAGCCACGGUGACGACGGAGUAGAGCACGACCGGAGAUGAAGAACUCGCAUUGAAAGCUUGAUCCCGUGGUCCCGUCUUGGAGGAGCUUCGUCAUGGCCGAUGAUUAUGGUGGAGGUCACGGCUUGAGAAGAACCACGAAGAAGAUGAAGCACACCCACUCUAACACCCCCGAACCGUCCUAGAGAUAUAGUUGAUCAACCAGCCAACAAUCAAACGAGAACAUGACCGAUCGACCGUCCAACACCCAGGGUUAGAGAUGAAUGAGCCAACCGGCCAGCCAACAAUCAAACAAGAAUAUGACUGACCGUCCAACUCAACACCAUGGUCCGGAAGCGCUACGUGACGGGCUAGGGACGAUCCAGUCAAGUCACAAAAAUUACUCCACGACUUAGACCAGUUCAUCCACUAACUCGUCCCGCUAAUCAAGGCGAAAGACUUUUCAACCCGUACCUAGAGUUAGCGUUUUCCGUUAGAUCGAGGCCUAAGGUUUUUCAACCCGUACCAUGACCUAACGUUAUGCUAGACCAGACUAGUCAAAUAUCAGAGUACUCAUGAAGCGCAUAUAAAACAAUUACUUAUAUUGAUUCAAAAAAUAUCCAUACAUUGAUAUAAUUCGAGACCGGUCCCGGCCUAAUGCCAAAUCAAGUCAACUAAACACAAUUCACAAUACUGUUUACAAAAGGCAUGAAAAUCUACACCGGCAGUCCUAAAGUCCAACACCAAGCUAUCCGAUCAUCCUUACCUAAAGCGACCUGCAAAAAGGACAACAGAGUUGGAUGAGUAAUCUAGUAUUACUCAGUGAGCUGGCGGCCUCUACCCGAAACCUAGACUCUAACCCAGACAACCCAAAAUAACAAUCAAUCUAGCCCUAGCAUGCAAUAAAAAUAAGGCUAAGCAAACCGUUACUAAAUUAGACUUGGCCUCCUGCCAUGAUCUAGCUUCAAGUAACGGGAACCUGCAUUAAAAUAAGUCAACAACCAAUCCUUAGUUAACCAUAUAUACGCCUGAGUUCAGUACUCAUGUAGUGUUAGAUACAUACACUAUACAAGUAUCAUUAACCGGUCGACCAACAAUCAAACAAGAACAUGAUCGGCCAACCAAUGAUACCGCAUAGCUUAUGAUAUCCACCACCCUUCACAAGCAAUCCCUCAAACACAUACAUGCCAACGUCAGGCCUACACUAACCAAAUACAAACCAAGCCUAAUCUGGUACCUAAACCAGACUUAGGACUUAAUAUCAGAACCUGCAAGGAAACAAUCAACAACCAAACACAAUCACAAUAAUAACUAUGAGUAACUACGACUAGAUCUAACUCGUAACACCGUAUAUCGGUGCUACACUAACUCGGGGGUUCCAUAACCCUCUACGACAAACUAACACAACACCACACUCUAACCCAGGAAAUGGUGACUUUGUGUUCCUCCUCAUCAUCCUCGGCAAUAUCCUAUCUCCCUAUCACAAAGACUAGGAGAAGAAACUUUCAACCGAACGCGGCCCACAGUACGUUCGGGUCACCGCGCGACAGCCCCAGUACGUUCGGACCACUGCCGGUUGUCACACGACGAUUGCGGCCCACUGUACGUUCGGGUCACCGCAAGACAGCCCACAGUACGUUCGGGUCACUACCGGUCACUACCCCGUCGUGCAACCACUCAGCUAUAGGCCACGACCUCAUCUCUCUGAGUGCUCUCGAUCCAGCGAAUAAGGGGUUUCCUUAAACCCGCUGGGUACGAGGUUGAGGAAACACUAAUCAACCCCUAAACAUGCCUAGCAUGGUGGGUUAUACACAAGCUAUAUGGCAUCACACUCUACUCUACGACACUAACAACAAUAUCAUCACUAAACAACUUAACCAGUUAGUCACUCCCUUACCAAGAGAUGACUAACCUCAAUCAACAAGAUUAAUUAAACGAGUAAGCAUUUAAUUAAAUCUACUCAAGCAAUCAACUCAAUCAAACCGUUACCCAGAUAGUCCAGCCUCCUGCUGAGAAACUAUCUUUAAAGAUAAUGGGAACCUGCACUCAACCAUAUCAACACGCAAGAAUAUAAAUCACGAUGCACCCUAGUCCUAAUCAGGUUAUUAUCUCAGUCUUAAUUCCAUUUCUUCUCAGCUUAGCCUGUGCUGAGUCCGUUUUAAUAAAUAACCCUAAGGACUCUAUCAUGAAACAGCAUGAGCAUUCUACUCUAUAUGCGACUCAAUCUUCCCUAAGUUCCAAGUAGAACUCAAACAAACCAACUCAAAACUACCCAAGCCAACUCACAGUGUUCUAGGCGAGAAGCAGCUGGUUGAUUGGAGAGGACUUAACCAAAACCCAAGAUGAACGUCUGGAGUGGACUGGACUGAUCUUGUCUUGGACAGAACCACGGCUUGAUCAUGUAGACACUGACAGGCCUCGACAGACUGAUCUGGACUCGGACAGAACCUUCUUUAGCUUCUGGACCGUUCUUCGGCUUUCCGCGGAGUAUCGAGCAGAACUUCGACUUAUCUAAACCCGUGGAACUGAACUAAUCUUGGACAGCACCGCCACUUGAUUGUAGGAGAAUAUGACUGGCUUGGACGAAUUGAAUUGGACAGAGCUUCCGUGUCACAAUCGUAGAGAAUCAUCGAUGGGACGGAACUGGCCUUCUCGGUGAAAUAUCGUUCUUCAGAAUCGACCAUACUCUACCUCGACCACUUUCUUUCUCUCUCUCUCUCUCUCUCUCUCUCUGUCUCUCUCUCUCUCUCUCUCUCUCUCUCUGUCUCUCUCUGUCCACGUUUUGGAGUGGCUUCCCAUCUGAACUGUCUUCAACUGAACAGAACCUCCCCUAGGCGCUGACUCGAAAUCAGUAGAGAACUGACCUCGAAAACUCUCUAAAACUCUCGAAAUAGCUCGGAAGCACUUGCUUUCUUUUUCUACUUUUAUCUCACGGUUUUAACUUGGUUUGGACAGGUCUGGAUGUAAUGAAAUGACCUGGGGUCGUGGACUAUUUAUAGAAGACAGUAACCAAUCAGCUUCAGGUUGGUGGCAGCCCGUGUGUCGCUUCGCAUGGCUCCGGGCGCAUGCGCGGCAGCACCUCGUGCUCCACAUGGCUGGCUGCAUGUUCAGGACACAUGCAGGACGCCACCACUCCUCCCAGAUGUCAGGCUGCAUGACUGUAACUUAUGCAAGGCGCCACAGCAUCACACACAUGGCUGGCCGCAUGCUUCGGUUGCAUGCGCGGAGACACCUCGUGCUUGGUUGAUCCACCUCGUGCUUCUACAUGUCAGGCUGCAUGUACAACUUCCAUGCACGGUGACACCUCGUGCUUCUGGAGACAAUCAGCUUGUUAGAUGGUUGACACCACGUUCUGAACCCAUGCAACGAGCCACCUCGAGCUUCUCGGUUCAUUCGCUUGAUUUCGGUCAUUCCGGCAAUUUUCUGAUCCGCGAUUAACCCCGAAUAUUUUUCUGCUCCCGUUCAGAUGAGUUUAAUAUUUUUAAUAAACUCCAAUCUGAACUCUGACCUUGGCCGUAAAUAUUUCCCGAUCCUUCGGCCUCAUCGAAAACUUCCAUAAUACCGAAAUUAGGGUUUUCGUCUAAUUUCGGGUUUUCCCGUCGUGCUUCGAUCUCGUCGUGCUUGCUUCCCGUCCUGCUUAACUCCCGUUCUGCUUCCAAUGUCUUCGAAAUAAUAUUCCGCUGAUACGAAGUUUCGCGGAAAACUUCGUGCUGAAGAAACGUCAUUCUUCCAAAGCGUCGAGCUUCUAAACCGUCGUGCUUCCAAAAACGUGAUGCUUCCAAAAUGUCUGUCUAAUCAAUCUAAGACAUCUUCUAACUAUGGUCGAGAAACUUUUUUGACUCAUAGUUCACUCACAAUCAAUUCUUCGCCCACCUCGUACUUCAAAGCUUUUCGAUCGAUCCAUAUCGCCCGAGACUCGACCACCACAAAGAUACUCGACCAUUCUCUCUCUCUUUUCUUUUUUUUUUUUUUUUAACGGGUUUCUACAUUCUCCUUCCCCUUAAUAGAAUUCGUCCUCGAAUUCUUAGUUGCACAAUUGCUCAUCUUCACAACAUUCUGCACUCCUCUCCAUAACCUCUUUACUCUGUCCACUACGGUUCCUUGAGUGUCCUCUUCAAAGCCUCCACAAUCGUCUUCAUUCAUCUUAACUGGAAUGAUCACUGACUCGUCCUCUUGCUUUUACUCUGCCAUAACACACUCAUUGCCCAUGAUACUAUCUUGUCCUUUCGAUAGAUAUCAUCCUUGUCCAGAUUCCUCAAAUCCUUCUCGAUCUUUGUCUUCCCAACUACUGAUGAAGUCAUUCCCCAACAAAGUCUUGUUUUCUCCCAUCUGUCCAGUCCAUACCACAGUCCAGUUCUCUGAAUCUGUCUCUCCUCUUUCGCUUCGGGUUUGGGUUUGGCCUCGAACUCCCUCCACUUUAAGGUUUUCAUCCCUUAAAGUUCCGAUCAACGAACACACUUACUCGCUGCAACUCAAAAGAACACUUCACACGCAAGUUAGUAGACAAUUAACCAAAUAAUCUACUAACCUAACAAAUUCUAACAAUUCAACCUAACCACAAUUCUAACCAGAAACCUAGCAAUUCUAACCAAGCAACCUA
rnacentral:lncRNA from 1 species